GCCAUAGUUCAGCAAUAGAACAUUUGCAUUGCAUGCAAAAGUUCCCAGGUUCAAUCCUUGCCAUAUGCA